AUUGAACGCUGGCGGCAUGCCUUACACAUGCAAGUCGAACGGUAACAGGUCUUCGGAUGCUGACGAGUGGCGAACGGGUGAGUAAUGCAUCGGAACGUGCCCAGGAGUGGGGGAUAGCCCGGCGAAAGCCGGAUUAAUACCGCAUACGACCUGAGGGGGAAAGGGGGGGAUCGCAAGACCUGUCGCUAUUGGAGCGGCCGAUGUCAGAUUAGCUAGUUGGUGGGGUAAAGGCCUACCAAGGCAACGAUCUGUAGUUGGUCUGAGAGGACGACCAGCCACACUGGGACUGAGACACGGCCCAGACUCCUACGGGAGGCAGCAGUGGGGAAUUUUGGACAAUGGGCGCAAGCCUGAUCCAGCAAUGCCGCGUGCAGGAAGAAGGCCUUCGGGUUGUAAACUGCUUUUGUCAGGGAAGAAAUCUUCUGGGUUAAUACCUCGGGAGGAUGACGGUACCUGAAGAAUAAGCACCGGCUAACUACGUGCCAGCCGCCGCCGUAACAC
rnacentral:rRNA from 1 species